rnacentral:rRNA from 1 species
UACGUAGGGGGCAAGCGUUGUCCGGAUUUAUUGGGCGUAAAGAGCGUGUAGGCGGCCAAAUAGGUCGGUUGUGAAAACUGGAGGCUUAACCUCCAGACGUCGACCGAAACCAUCUGGCUAGAGUCCGGAAGAGGAGUGUGGAAUUCCUGGUGUAGCGGUGAAAUGCGCAGAUAUCAGGAAGAACACCCGUGGCGAAGGCGGCUCUCUGGGACGGUACUGACGCUGAGACGCGAAAGCGUGGGGAGCGAACAGG